rnacentral:rRNA from 1 species
UUAAGGGUCCGUAGGCGGGCCAAUAAGUCAGUGGUGAAAUCCUAUCGCUUAACGAUAGAAUGCCAUUGAAACUGUUGGUCUUGAAUUAUUUUGAAGUUGGCGGAAUGAGUAGUGUAGCGGUGAAAUGCAUAGAUAUUACUCAGAACACCGAUUGCGAAGGCAGCUGACUAAGAAUAUAUUGACGCUGAUGGACGAAAGCGUAGGUAGCGAACAGGAUUAGAUACCCUGGUAGUCUACGCAGUAAACGAUGGAUACUCGUUGUCGGGAAAAUUGAGACUCGGUGGCUAAGCGAAAGUGAUAAGUAUCCCACCUGGGGAGUACGAUUGCAAGAUUGAAACUCAAAGGAAUUGACGGGGGCCCGCACAAGCGGUGGAGCAUGUGGUUUAAUUCGAUGAUACGCGAGGAACCUUACCUGGGCUUAAAUGUAGAUUGACAGGACUGGAAACAGUUUUUCCUUCGGGCAAUUUACAAGGUGCUGCAUGGUUGUCGUCAGCUCGUGCCGUGAGGUGUCAGGUUAAGUCCUAUAACGAGCGCAACCCCUAUCGAUAGUUGCUAGCAGGUAAUGCUGAGGACUCUAUUGAGACUGCCGGUGCAAACCGUGAGGAAGGUGGGGAUGACGUCAAAUCAUCACGGGCCCUUACGUUCAGGGGCCCAC